AUAUUUAUAUUUGUUAGCUGCUCAUCGAUGACGAUGAUGGUGUCAAUCUUAAUCUCGUUGUAGAGAUAUCGUCGCCACCCCUGUUCCCAUAUUGUGCGUAUUUUUUUUUUUAUCCUCUCGAUCCGUAAUUCCGUCCUUUACUUCAAAGUCUUCAUAUUACCGAAUGUAGUAUAUAAUUCUACUUCAGUCAGCUUCAGUUCAGUUCACUUCACAAAAUAUGGUAAACAUAUUGUUAAACUUCGACUUAAGAGACUUGGUUGUGGCUUGAAGUUUAACAGUAGAGACGCAGACUCGGUUGAGGCGCUAUUUUGGUCUAAUUAUUAUUACGUUUAAUCUAUAGUGAAGAUGAUAAUUUUCUUGCACGAAGGAAAACUUUAUAACCGUAAGAUUAUUAAGAACAAGGGAAAAGAAGUGCAGAAAUUUUAUGGACAAGAGAACUAAUCCCAGCAGGGUGCUAAAGUGUCGAGUCGCCAAGUAAGACUGACUGGAGCUUUCUUUUUCUGCAUGAUUUCGAUUAUCUCUUUGUACAAAGAAGAAAACCAAUAACAGAUUUAUGGCCUUUCUAAGCUAUAAGUCACUAAUUUAUUUAUCAGCCGUGAAAUCGAUCAUCUGGCAAUGAUACAGCUGAAGUUAUAGCUACAAAAGAGAAAUCUCUUUACUUUGGUAUUAUGAUCACACCUAAGGAGUAUGAAACUUACUUGACAUAUAUACUGCUAUAAGAAUUACAGGCUGAUAAAGAACGUAUUGAGAGCUUUGUACAACAGUAGAUUAUGCAUGUUUUAUGCCUUAGAUAAAGCAUAUGGCUGAAUCAUACACUUGAGUACUACUAGCCAAAUAUUAUCUAGGUUUUAGGUCAAAACUGUUUUUCCAUGAGCUUUCACUUUUGCUACUUACUGUUGAUAAAUUAUUGUUUCCAAGGAUUAUGAUGCGCUUCUAGUCAAACUUUGCUCUGAACACAGCAAUUAGUAUCUUGGAAAAGAGCAUUGAUGGAUUGUAUUAAAAACUAAUGCAACUUAUGAUGCUUAAGAAUCAAGUUAUUUUUAAGUCAAA